GUGCUCGUUUCGGCAGCACAUAUACUAGCAUUAGAACAAUACAGAGAAGAUUAGCAUGGCCCCUGUGCAAGGAUGACACGCAAAUUCAUGAAGCAUUCGAUAUUUUU